AAGUGAGGAGAAGCUUCCAAGAGUAUUUCAGAGUGUCGUCGUGUUCUACUGACUAAGGUGUGCAGCAGAUGCAUACAGGCAUCCACAGAAGCCAGGAGAGAGCUUCAGACCCCCUAGAACUGGAGUCAUUGGUGACAGUAAGCUUCCUGGAGUGGAUGCUGGAAAUCAAACUCAGGUCCUCUGCAAGAGCAAUAUCUUGCAGGAGCUUCUGACAGUCAUCUUGGAUGCAUGGGGUGAGAGACUGCUAUAGAGACAAAGCUGCAGAGAUGUUGCUGAGGGCAGAGGAGAAGCAGCAAGGUCCUGCUCAGUUAUUUGAACCAUCAUUCAAGUCUCCUUUGAAGCCAAACUGUUCUGUUUAAUAACAAAGGGUCAAUGAGCCCAGUUGUUUGUGUAAGCCAAUUUAAGACACAUUCUCUGUAUGUUGUAACAGAAAUAAUAAUGUGUAACCCAUAUCCCAUCUUAAA